GCGCCCGUAGCUCAACGGAUAGAGUGGUGGACUUCGAAUCCAUUGGUUGCAGGUUCGAAUCCUGCCGGGCGCGCCA
rnacentral:tRNA from 1 species